GGCUCUCCCCACGCAGCCUUUGCCUCUCUCUUCUUUCUCACAUUACAUCAAUCUGCGAGGUUCUGACAGCGGCGACGGUGGGAUAUGGAAAACCAGGGACAGGAGAAGGGGUGACGGGCAGCUUUCCAGACCAGACCCUGAAGCCCUCCUGCUUCCCGGGACCCAAUUGUAGGGCGUCAGGCUGGAGGACAAGUGGACGACCUGGGUCAGGUGGUGCAUCCUGUAGAUCCUACUGUGGUCCCCCUAGAGCUGAGCUCCUCCCGGGCAG
rnacentral:lncRNA from 1 species